rnacentral:rRNA from 1 species
GACGUAGGGCGCAAGCGUUGUCCGGAUUUACUGGGCGUAAAGGGCGCGUAGGCGGCGUGGUAAGUCACUUGUGAAAUCUCUGAGCUUAACUCAGAACGGUCAAGUGAUACUGCUGUGCUAGAGUGCGGAAGGGGCAAUCGGAAUUCUUGGUGUAGCGGUGAAAUGCGUAGAUAUCAAGAGGAACACCUGAGGUGAAGACGGGUUGCUGGGCCGACACUGACGCUGAUGCGCGAAAGCCAGGGGAGCAAACGGG